AAAGAAAAUUAGACAAUCGUCCCGAUUCUAUCGGGAAGGAAAGUCCGAACACCAGGAGCAAAAUACUUCGUAACACGAAGUCCCUGUGAUGGGAAGAUAGUGCCACAGAAAAGAAACCGUUCCCGAUAUGCCUUUGGCUAUCGGGAGAAAGGGUGAAAAGGUGGUGUAAGAGACCACCAGUUCCGAUGGUGACAUCGGAAGCUCGGUAAACCUUAUUGGUGCAAGGUCAAAUAAGAGAGGAUCCCGAUUUAUCGGGACGAAUCGCUCUGUUCGUUAUACUCUCGGGUAGACCGCAAAAAUCAAACGGUGACGUUUGAUUCAGAUAAAUGAUUGUCGUCCCAACCUUUUUAAGUUGGGAAACAGAAUUCGGCUUAUUAUUUUCUUUAGCA
rnacentral:RNase_P_RNA from 1 species